CUUCUCCCCCGUCGCGACGCCGAACCCGUGCCCUAACCUCCUCGCGCCGAGCGAUUUCUUCCUCCCCUCGCGAUUAAAGUCGUGGCCGAGGAGUUCGUAUUUCUUUCUUCUUCUUUCCCCGACAACUGCUUCUCCUUAACGCAUCCCCUCUCUCCCUCCUCGUCGAUGCCUGAGCAAGAGCCGACCGACUCCCUCUCCUCCCGAAGCUCGCGACACGCCGACCCUUUCCCCCUUCUUCACGCCGCUAUGCUCUAAGUUCUCCAUGUGCCGACGCCUCUCCGCUGAACGCCGAAGGCCACCACCGGUGCCUAGGUGUUGCCCUCUUCCUCUACAGAGCACCGCCGCUGCACGGAACAUCGCCGACCGCUAGCUCCUCUGCCGGACUUCACUUCCAUCUCCUCUCCCAAUUGCCGCGAGCCACUGUGCCGAACCACUUCUUGCAACAGAUCUAUUCUCGUUGAUAUGCCAGAUCUUGCUGCACAAAUCUGUGAUGUUUUAAGUCGGAGGACAGCAACCCUAGUUUGCUCUGGCCACUGGUUUCCGACGUUUUCUAACAGCAGGCACAUCCGACAAUGACUCAACAGUCAGGCAUUCAAAUUUGGGGCUUUUGGGAUCUGCUGUGGCAAUCUUGCUUCGACUGAGGACAUCAAGGAAGAGGUUGUGAGUUUAAGGUUGAGACUUUCCGGAGGAUUUCCAGUCGCUAGUCCCCCUCCAGAUUUCGAGGAUUUUCAUAUGAACCUUUUUAUUGUUCUUUUCUUACUAUAUAGUUGUCUAUGUAUUGGACUUAUGCUGGUAUUGCUUUAUGGAUAUUGUAUUAUCUUUAUUGUCGCUGAGUUUUAUUGGAUAUGUUUUACAACA